rnacentral:rRNA from 1 species
CCUACGGGGUGCAGCAGUGGGGAAUAUUGCACAAUGGGGGAAACCCUGAUGCAGCGACGCCGCGUGAGUGAAGAAGUAUUUCGGUAUGUAAAGCUCUAACAGCAGGGAAGAAAUAAAGUCCUUUGGACUUUGGACGGUACCUGACUAAGAAGCCCCGGCGAACUACGUGCAAGCAGCCGCGGUAAUACGUAGGGGGCAAGCGGUAUCCGGUUUUACGGGGUGGAAAGGGCGUGUAGGCGGGGACGCAAGUCAGAUGUGAAAACCACGGGCUCAACCUGUGGCCUGCAUUUGAAACUGUGUUUCUUGAGUACUGGAGAGGCAGACGGAAUUCCGAGUGUAGCGGUGAAAUGCGUAGAUAUUAGCAGGAACACCAGUGGCGAAGGCGGUCUGCUGGACAGCAACUGACGCUGAGGCGCGAAAGCGUGGGGAGCAAACAGGAUUAGAUACCCUAGUAGUC